UGGAGGCCGUGAAUGGCAGACUAGGAAUAUCUGUACUUUGUAUACCAAAAAAACUUUUCAUCUAAGUGAAAAGACUUAGAUAACUAAGGAAGACGAAAAGACCCCGCGGAACUUUACUUUUCUUACACUUCUGUCUACAAACUUAAAGGUCUAUAAGGUUGAUGGGGCAAUCUKGRAUCACUAAAGCUUCCAAUUAAUCAUAUAACAAUAUAUAAAAUUGUAAGGACCAAAAAGUAGUUACCCCGGGGAUAACAGCGUAAUCCAACUUAAGAGUACACAUCGAAAGUGGGUUGCGACCUCGAUGUUG
rnacentral:rRNA from 1 species